UGGGGAAUUUUGGACAAUGGGGGCAACCCUGAUCCAGCAAUGCCGCGUGUGUGAAGAAGGCCUUCGGGUUGUAAAGCACUUUUGUCCGGAAAGAAAACGUCGUGGUUAAUACCCGUGGCGGCUGACGGUACCGGAAGAAUAAGCACCGGCUAACUACGUGCCAGCAGCCGCGGUAAUACGUAGGGUGCAAGCGUUAAUCGGAAUUACUGGGCGUAAAGCGUGCGCAGGCGGUCCGCUAAGACAGAUGUGAAAUCCCCGGGCUUAACCUGGGAACUGCAUUUGUGACUGGCGGGCUAGAGUAUGGCAGAGGGGGGUUANAAUUCCACGUGUAGCAGUGAAAUGCGUGAGAUGUGGAGGAAUACCGAUGGCGAAGGCAGCCCCCUGGGCCAAUACUGACGCUCAUGCACGAAAGCGUGGGGGAGCAAACAGGAUUCAGAUACCC
rnacentral:rRNA from 1 species